GCACACUCUUGAAGUGACCGGCCUGGAGACGGUUGCCCAGAGCAAGGCCCAUGUAGCAUCCCUGGAGGGCCUCAUCCCUGAAGAUAAGGUUGUGCUUCUGGCAGGUUCUCCCUUACAGAAUGAAGCCACCCUGGGUCAGUGUGGGGUGGAAGCCCUGACAACCCUGGAAGUGGUUGGCCGCAGGCUAGGAGGUAAUAACUGCCUCUCACUGCAAGUCAACCCUGUACAACCAGCCAGAUAUUUGUGGACAACACUUCACAGCUCAAAACAAGGUGAACCUAACUCCUCAGCAAACCACAGAUGCUCCUGAAAGUCUCCAAGGCCAGAAGAAAACCCCUAAACAUAUACCACACUGUGGCAACUGUAGCCUAGAAGGUAACGAAUGAAGAACACAGCAAAUAUCUGAGAGUUGCUGCCUGAAGACACAGGACAAUGACCUCAGAAGGAUGGGGAUGGGCUGGAAAACCUCUGGUCUCUACCCUCCUUACAGCUGUGAUUUGCUUCUCCCUAGGAAGGUCCUGCUUCCAUGCUUCUCCCCAUACCCCACUCACUUGAGUGUCUCACACGGGAUGGUAACUAGAUGUAACACUUGCCAAGGGGUCAUUAUCACCUACUAAAUACAAAUAGAUGUCUAGCUUGUCUGUCCACAGAGAGGUGAAUGAUGAGAGAAUUCAAUCUCCUGGAAUCAAAAGAACUUUUUGGUGUGUAUUCUACAAAUUAAAAACUCAAUGACCAGCCGGGCAUGGUGACUCACGCCUGUAAUCCUAGCACUUUGGGAGGCUGAGGCAGGCAGAUUGCCUGAGCUCAAGAGUUCGAAGGCCGGGUGCGGUGGCUCACGCCUGUAAUCCCAGCACUGUGGGAGGCCUAGACGGGUGGAUCACCUGAGAUCAGGAGUUUGAGACCAGCCUGAUCAACACGGAGAAACCCUGUCUCUAGUAAAAAUACAAAAAUUAGCCAGGCGUGGUGAUGCAUGCCUGUAAUCCCAGCUACUCUGGAGGCUGAGGCAGGAGAAUCGCUUGAACCUGGGAGGUGGAGGUUGCUGUGAGCCGAGAUCGUGCCACUGCACUCCAGCCUGGGCAACAAGAGCGAGACUCCAUCUCAAAAAAAAAAAAAAAA